rnacentral:rRNA from 1 species
GAAUUUUGGACAAUGGGCGAAAGCCUGAUCCAGCAAUGCCGCGUGCAGGAUGAAGGCCUUCGGGUUGUAAACUGCUUUUGUACGGAACGAAAAGCUUUGGGUUAAUACCCUGGAGUCAUGACGGUACCGAACGAAUACGCACCGGCUAACUACGUGCCAGCAGCCGCGGUAAUCCGUAGGGUGCAAGCGUUAAUCGGAAUUACUGGGCGUAAAGCGUGCGCAGGCGGUUUUGUAAGACAGAGGUGAAAGCCCCGGGCUCAACCUGGGAACUGCCUUUGUGACUGCAAGGCUAGAGUACGGCAGAGGGGGGUGGAAUUCCGCGUGUAGCAGUGAAAUGCGUAGAUAUGCGGAGGAACACCGAUGGCGAAGGCGACCACCUGGGCUAAUACUGACACUGAGGUGCGAAAGCGUGGGGAGCAAACAGG